GUGAGGAAUAUUGGUCAAUGGGCGGGAGCCUGAACCAGCCAAGUCGCGUGAAGGAAGAAGGAUCUAUGGUUCGUAAACUUCUUUUGCAGGGGAAUAAAGUGCAGGACGUGUCCUGUUUUGUAUGUACCCUGAGAAUAAGGAUCGGCUAACUCCGUGCCAGCAGCCGCGGUAAUACGGAGGAUCCGAGCGUUAUCCGGAUUUAUUGGGUUUAAAGGGUGCGUAGGUGGUUUGAUAAGUCAGCGGUGAAAGUUUGCAGCUUAACUGUAAAAAUGCCGUUGAAACUGUCGGACUUGAGUGUAAAUGAGGUAGGCGGAAUGCGUGGUGUAGCGGUGAAAUGCAUAGAUAUCACGCAGAACUCCGAUUGCGAAGGCAGCUUACUGGGAUGCAACUGACGCUGAGGCACGAAAGCGUGGGGAUCAAACAGGAUUAGAAACCCUAGUAGUCC
rnacentral:rRNA from 1 species